rfam:Gossypium arboreum cultivar AKA8401 contig_77692_1, whole genome shotgun sequence.
AUGCCAUGAAGAGGGCACUUUCGUAAUAACUCCUUGAACCACUCCCAUGCCUCAUACAAAGAUUCUUCGCCAAAUUGUUGAAAUGAAGUGAUUUCAUUUUGGAGCUU